GCCUGGGUGGCUCAGUCAGUUGAGCGUCUGACUUCGGCUCAGGUCAUGAUCUCCCAGUUUGUGAGUUCGAGCCCCACGUCAGGCU
rnacentral:tRNA from 1 species